GGCACCUCUGUCGCAAAGAGCAUGUGCAGACUCUGACAGGCUUUCAGGGAAGCCACUUCCCCCAUGUGCUCUGCUGGUUUCCUCAUUGGUGUUUGGGAAGAGGAGGCUGGGCUCCUCCCGGGGAGUGGGGUGCUAUGACAGAUGAGACUUUCAUGCAAGAAAAUCAAUCCUGCACAUUUGAUGUACUGCUUUAAACUUAAAGACCUCUUUGGAUCCAAAACUGUAAGGAUUCUAUAAACCUGGAGAGUAAUCCUAAGAAAAAUCAUCAGGAGAAAGGAAUUUGUAGAACUAAAACUGCAAACAUCCAGAAUCUUGAUGGUGUGCCAAGCCAAAUGUCAACUGGAACUCAACCAAAAACUAAAGUGCUCUCCGAUAAGAGACCCAAAGAAAGAGCGGUAGAGAUGGGGAAAUCCUUCAUUCUUGAUUCUGUGCUUGAGACUGCCCCAGCUGGAAUUCUUGCACCUUCACCCUGCUGCCUUCCCAUUUCCUCCUCCGCACAACUUCCAGAAUGUGUGAGUACCCACUAAGUCAUAAACUCCAGGAGGACAAGGCUCUCUGUUGUCAUUUUUAUUUAAACUUAGGUAUCCUUAGCACUUUAGAACAGUACCUGGCACAUAAUUGACAUUUGGAAAAUACUGAGUGAAUGAAUGAAUAUCACUUCAUCUCUACCCGCUGCAAACCAGCCUAACUCAUCUUUAUGUCCUGUUCAUCACCUGUGCUUAAAGCUAGG
rnacentral:lncRNA from 1 species